UGGGGUGUGUACACUUAACUGGCUGGCUGUUUCCCAUUCACUGUCCACGCGGUAGAGCAACGAACUCCUUUCCUUGGUCACUUAGUGAGGUGCAGCCGGUCGCUGCGCAAGCUUCCAGGCUGACCCUGAACUGUCAGUUGCGUGUGCCAAAGCUGGGAAUAUCCCAAAGAAGACAAACUGCCCUUACCUCCGCGUACGAGCCACUGUCCUACGGGAGUGAGAGGGUAUGGCCCGAAGAGAGGGCCCCAGGCCCUGGAUCCUUUCCAGAAGCCCAAAGUUCCCUAUUGCUUAGUACUCGGACCCAGCGUGAGGAGUGGGACGCCCACGGGGACGUAGUGUCCAGCCGAGAGUCCCAUGACCACCGCGGCAGCAGAGUAGAUCGCAGUCCUGGCUGCUAAGAUAAACCGUGGCCGGCUUUCCCUGUGCCUCCGGCCUGGGUGCUGGGAAUCCCGAGCCUGGAGAUCGCGCAGCAGGCAGCUUCGUGCCUCUGCCCGGACCGGAACGCUUUGGCUUGAGAGAUGGCAGCUCUGAGUAUGGAGAGGUGUAUGCUGAGAUACAAAAGCAGAGGAAAGAGAAAUGUGCGGCGAGGAUAUGAAUCACAUCCUCAGAACAUCACCUCUUUGGAGACAGCCAGGACACAGCCAAUUGCAAUGUCCCUGUCCAUAAAGACAAGUGUGGCUUAAAAACACCAAGACUGAAGGCUGCUGGGUUUGAAGUAUAACCUUAUGUGAGAUCAACAGAUCCAGAACAGAGGAGGCUUAGUGGGAGAGCACAGUUUCUGGAUAUACCAGGCUUCAAGUGGCUAAACAAGAUUUCAAAGGGCAAAGCAGUAAGAAGAAAGGAGUCUGGAUUCCUACAUGACAGUCUGGAACAUAAAGAGACCCUUCCUAGCCUUACAUGGCCUGUAAUAUGAGCAACAACAUAACCUGCUGUGCUAAUUGCUGAAAUGUGAAUGCUGUGCCUUGGAACGAUAUGUCUACCCUUAUCAAUACAGUGCUCCAAAGAAACUAGAAACUGUAAGUCCGACCAUGCCACUUCCCAGUCUCCCCUACACUUCAGUGCUUUUAGGCACAACACAUAUGUAUCCCUUAUGAGAACCUCCCACAGCCUCUGCAUCCGAUGGAGUUGCCUUUAAGUAUCUCAUCUCUUAGAUGUGUCCUUUCUAGUGUGAUAGCCACUAGCCACAUGGGACUAUUUAAAUUAAUUGUUAAAUUAAAUUGAUAAAAUUGCA